rnacentral:rRNA from 1 species
GACGUAGGGCGCGAGCGUUGUCCGGAUUUAUUGGGCGUAAAGAGCUCGUAGGCGGCUUGUUACGUCGACUGUGAAAACCCGCGGCUCAACCGUGUGGUCUGCAGUCGAUACGGGCAGGCUAGAAUUCGGUAGGGGAGACUGGAAUUCCUGGUGUAGCGGUGAAAUGCGCAGAUAUCAGGAGGAACACCGAUUGCGAAGGCAGCUCGCUGGGACGUUACUGACGCUGAGACGCGAAAGCGUGGGGAGCAAACAGG